GCCACUGCCUGCCCCACAGAGUGGGUGCGUGUGCUCGGAGCUGGUGCUGUGGGGCUGAGCUCUGGACAUCCCACCGAGGAAAGGUUGGUCGUGAACGUGACCACCAAAGGCACCAAGGGCCGGGUCAGCCUCUGAUGGAGCCCUGUGACUCCUUCCAAACUCUAGAGGAUACCUUGGCCUCCAGCCCAGUCUCCCCAGAAGGAGCAUUCCUCUUCUAGUUAUAAAGACUCUGGUGAUUAUACUGGACCCACAAGAUAAUCCAGGAGAAUCUCCCUGUUUUCAGGACUUCAGGCACAGCUGGAUCCAGGUCCUCAAACAUUCUCAUCAAGAAUUUAUCUCUUUUUAAAUAUGGAAGCUGUGCUUUCUUCUGUGUUGGCUUUAUCCUCAGAAGGCCUCUGCUCACACACUGGCAAAGAUGGUCCCCAGCUGCUGCAAGAUCAACCAAAGCAAAAAUGAGAACAACCUUUACCCAAUAGCAUCAGCAAACUUUGGUCAUCCUUGCUCCUUGGCUCUGAUCGGCUCAUCUAGGGUCAUGUGCCUGUGCCUGACCCCGUCACUCUGGGAAGAAGGGAUGGGGUACUUGCAUCCACCUGCCCUGGUCACUGGCCCCCAGGAGCUGGGGGGUAAGAUCAGUAACCUGGUCUGAGAGGGAAUAAGCUAUCAUUCCCCUAAAGAAAAGUGGGGUGCUUUUAACCUAAGAAACAUUAAAGAAUCCACAUG